UACGUAGGGUGCGAGCGUUAAUCGGAAUUACUGGGCGUAAAGGGCGCGUAGGCGGCCUGUUAAGUCGAACGUGAAAUCCCCGGGCUCAACCCGGGAACUGCGUCCGAUACUGGCAGGCUUGAAUUCGGGAGAGGGAUGUGGAAUUCCAGGUGUAGCGGUGAAAUGCGUAGAUAUCUGGAGGAACACCGGUGGCGAAGGCGGCAUCCUGGACCGACAUUGACGCUGAGGCGCGAAAGCCAGGGGAGCAAACGGA
rnacentral:rRNA from 1 species